CCUACGGGAGGCUGCAGUGAGGAAUAUUGGUCAAUGGUCGCGAGCCUGAACCAGCCAAGCCGCGUGAGGGAUGAAGGCCCUGAGGAUUGUAAACUUCUUUUGUAAGGGAAUAAAGACAGGGACGUGUCCCUUGUUGAGUGUACCUGAUGAAUAAGGAUCGGCUAACUCCGUGCCAGCAGCCGCGGUAAUACGGAGGAUCCGAGCGUUAUCCGGAUUUAUUGGGUUUAAAGGGAGCGUAGGGGGGUUGUUAAGUCAGUGGUGAAAGGUUGGGGUUCAACCGUGAAAUUGCAUUUGAUACUGGCAGUCUCGAGUACAGUAGAGGUAGGCGGAAUUCGUGGUGUAGCGGUGAAAUGCUUAGAUAUCACGAAGAACUCCGAUUGCGAAGGCAGCUUGC
rnacentral:rRNA from 1 species